rnacentral:rRNA from 1 species
CUGGGCGUAAAGCGUGCGUAGGCGGUUACGUGUGUCGGGUGUGAAAGCCCUGGGCUCAACCCAGGAUGUGCAUUCAAAACUGCCUGGCUUGAAUCUCGGAGGGGGUCAGGGAAUUCCCGGUGUAGAGGUGAAAUUCGUAGAUAUCGGGAGGAACACCAGUGGCGAAGGCGCUGACCUGGACGAUGAUUGACGCUGAGGCGCGAAAGCGUGGGGAGCAAACAG